rnacentral:rRNA from 1 species
AGUAACGCGUGAGGAACCUGCCUUCCAGAGGGGGACAACAGUUGGAAACGACUGCUAAUACCGCAUGAUACGUUUGAAUCGCAUGGUUUGAAUGUCAAAGAUUUAUCGCUGGAAGAUGGCCUCGCGUCUGAUUAGCUAGUUGGUGAGGUAACGGCCCACCAAGGCGACGAUCAGUAGCCGGACUGAGAGGUUGGCCGGCCACAUUGGGACUGAGAUACGGCCCAGACUCCUACGGAAGGCAGCAG